ACAGAGGUGGAGAGCGUUGUUCGGAUUUACUGGGCGUAAAGGGAGCGUAGGCGGCGGUGUGUGUCGGGUGUGAAAUCCCAGGGCCCAACCCUGGAAGUGCGCCCGAAACUGCACCGCUCGAGUGCGGGGGGGGAGAUCGGAAUGCAGGGUGUAGCGGUGAAAUGCGUUGAUAUCCUGCAGAACACCGAUGGCGAAGGCGGAUCUCUGGAACGCAACUGACGCUGAGGCGCGAAAGCAGGGGGAGCAAACAG
rnacentral:rRNA from 1 species